AGAGCGAACGCUGGCGGCAGGCCUAACACAUGCAAGUCGAACGGACUCUUCGGAGUUAGUGGCGGACGGGUGAGUAACACGUGGGAACGUGCCUUUUGGUUCGGAAUAGCUCCUGGAAACGGGUGGUAAUGCCGAAUGUGCCCUUCGGGGGAAAGAUUUAUCGCCAUUAGAGCGGCCCGCGUCUGAUUAGCUAGUUGGUGAGGUAAAGGCUCACCAAGGCGACGAUCAGUAGCUGGUCUGAGAGGAUGACCAGCCACAUUGGGACUGAGACACGGCCCAAACUCCUAGGGAGGCAGCAGUGGGAAUCUGCGCAAUGGGCGAAAGCCUGACGCAGCCAUGCCGCGUGAAUGAUGAAGGUCUAGGAUUAGUAAAUUCUUUCACCGGGGACAGUAAUGACGGUACCCGGAGAAGAACGCCCGGAUAACUCGUGACCAGCAGCCGAC
rnacentral:rRNA from 1 species